UUUAAAGUCCACAACUCAUCAAGGAAAAUGAAAGUCAAAGUUGGCAGCUUACUUAAACUUAAUCACAGCCUUUAAUGUAGAACGAGAAGCAGAACUGACUUAAGUUAAUAUACCAUAUCUAAGUCAGUUCUGCUUCUCGUUCUGUACCUAAAGUGCCUAACAUCAUUAUUUAAUUUUUUUUUUUUUUGGCACACGAAUAACCAUGCCGUUUUGGAUCUUUUAAAGUCCACAACUCAUCAAGGAAAAUGAAAGUCAAAGUUGGCAGCUUACUUAAACUUAAUCACAGCCUUUAAUGUAAAAUGCGCACUACGAAUGAGUUAAGUUAAUAUACCAUAUCUAACUCAUUCGUAGUGCGCAUUUUGUACCUAAAGUGCCUAACAUCAUUAUUUAAUUUUUUUUUUUUUUGGCACACGAAUAACCAUGCCGUUUUGGAUCUUUUAAAGUCCACAACUCAUCAAGGAAAAUGAAAGUCAAAGUUGGCAGCUUACUUAAACUUAAUCACAGCCUUUAAUGUAGACAGGGCAGGUGGGUAUAUAUAAGUUAAUAUACCAUAUCUAUAUAUACCCACCUGCCCUGUCUGUACCUAAAGUGCCUAACAUCAUUAUUUAAUUUUUUUUUUUUUUGGCACACGAAUAACCAUGCCGUUUUGGAUCUUUUAAAGUCCACAACUCAUCAAGGAAAAUGAAAGUCAAAGUUGGCAGCUUACUUAAACUUAAUCACAGCCUUUAAUGUACAUGGAAGUGAAGAUCAUAGAUAAGUUAAUAUACCAUAUCUAUCUAUGAUCUUCACUUCCAUGUGUACCUAAAGUGCCUAACAUCAUUAUUUAAUUUUUUUUUUUUUUGGCACACGAAUAACCAUGCCGUUUUGGAUCUUUUAAAGUCCACAACUCAUCAAGGAAAAUGAAAGUCAAAGUUGGCAGCUUACUUAAACUUAAUCACAGCCUUUAAUGUGAACCAAACUAUCAAGAAGAGUUAAGUUAAUAUACCAUAUCUAACUCUUCUUGAUAGUUUGGUUCGUACCUAAAGUGCCUAACAUCAUUAUUUAAUUUUUUUUUUUUUUGGCACACGAAUAACCAUGCCGUUUUGGAUCUUUUAAAGUCCACAACUCAUCAAGGAAAAUGAAAGUCAAAGUUGGCAGCUUACUUAAACUUAAUCACAGCCUUUAAUGUAGAAGUCCGAAUCAUGCAAAACUAAGUUAAUAUACCAUAUCUAGUUUUGCAUGAUUCGGACUUCUGUACCUAAAGUGCCUAACAUCAUUAUUUAAUUUUUUUUUUUUUUGGCACACGAAUAACCAUGCCGUUUU
rnacentral:miRNA from 1 species